rnacentral:rRNA from 1 species
UGCCUCAGUAACGGCGAGUGAAGCGGCAACAGCUCAAAUUUGAAAUCUGGCCUCAUGGCCCGAGUUGUAAUUUGUAGAGGGUGUCUCGGGCGCGACGCCGGUCUAAGUUCCUUGGAACAGGACGUCACAGAGGGUGAGAAUCCCGUACGUGACCGGCCGUCAACCCCAUGUGAGACCCCUUCGACGAGUCGAGUUGUUUGGGAAUGCAGCUCUAAAUGGGUGGUAAAUUUCAUCUAAAGCUAAAUACCGGCCAGAGACCGAUAGCGCACAAGUAGAGUGAUCGAAAGAUGAAAAGCACUUUGGAAAGAGAGUUAAACAGUACGUGAAAUUGUUGAAAGGGAAGCGCUUGCAACCAGACUUGCCCGCGGGUGAUCAGCCGUCCUUCGGGGCGGUGCACUCUCCCGCGAUCAGGCCAGCAUCGGUUUCGGCGGCCAGAUAAAGACUUUCGGGAACGUGGCUCCCUCCGGGGAGUGUUAUAGCCCGUCGUGCCAUGUGGUCAGCCGGGACCGAGGACCGCGCUUCGGCUAGGAUGCUGGCGUAAUGGUUGUCAGCGACCCGUCUUGAAACACGGACCAAGGAGUCUAACAUCUAUGCGAGUGUUUGGGUGUCAAACCCAUGCGCGUAAUGAAAGWGAACGGAGGUGGGAACCCGUUACGGGGGCACCAUCGACCGAUCCUGAUGUCUUCGGAUGGAUUUGAGUACDAGCAUAGCUGUUGGGACCCGAAAGGCAAGUACCCCCCUUUUUAAACUGCUGUAACUACAGCUAACAUAUUUUCCAGAUGGUGAACUAUGCGUGUGUAGGGUGAAGCCAGGGGAAACCCUGGUGGAGGCUCGCAGCGGUUCUGACGUGCAAAUCGAUCGUCAAACAUGCGUAUAGGGGCGAAAGACUAAUCGAACCAUCUAGUAGCUGGUUCCUGCCGAAGUUUCCCUCAGGAUAGCAGUAACGUUUUCAGUUUUAUGAGGUAAGCCCCAAGAAUUUUACUUUUAGUGAGACCCACUAACAUCAACCUCAGGUAAGCGAUGAUUAGAGCCUGGGGAGAACUUCCUAACCUAUCUCAACUUAAUAUGUAGAGUCCUGUGCUUUAUGACGUGACAUUGAUGUACGUACUAGUGG